CACCUCUAAGGAAGGUCAGAAGGCUACACAGGAUGAGAGAAGAAACAUGCCUUCCAAAAAGGUCUAAGACCUGAUUGUGGAGGAUGAGGAACUAGGAGCCCAGAUGGCCGCCACUGCAGCUUCGCAACCAAAGUAAUGGAACUUUCUAAAACUUCUCAUGCCAAAAGGAGAUGACCAUUGAAGCAUUCCCUCAGAGCAUUCAUCGACUGAUCGAAGGAAAAAGGAUAUCUUCCAAGA
rnacentral:lncRNA from 1 species